rnacentral:rRNA from 1 species
AAGCGUAUAUUAAAGUUGUUGCGGUUAAAAAGCUCGUAGUUGGAUCUGCGUCUUAGGCUAGUGGUCCCCCAGCGGGUGGUUACUGCUAUGCCUGGACUAAUCUCUCUGGUUUUCCCUUGGUGCUCUUUACUGAGUGUCUUGGGUGGCUGGAACAUUUACUUUGAAAAAAUUAGAGUGCUUAAAGCAAGCAGUUAGCUUGAAUAGUGGUGCAUGGAAUAAUGGAAUAGGACUUCGGUUCUAUUUUGUUGGUUUUCGGAACUCGAGGUAAUGAUUAAGAGGGACAGACGGGGGCAUUCGUAUUGCGACGUU